ACUUAAAUUGAAGAGUUUGAUCAUGGCUCAGAUUGAACGCUGGCGGCAGGCCUAACACAUGCAAGUCGAGCGGUAGCACAGAGAGCUUGCUCUCGGGUGACGAGCGGCGGACGGGUGAGUAAUGUCUGGGAAACUGCCUGAUGGAGGGGGAUAACUACUGGAAACGGUAGCUAAUACCGCAUAAUGUCGCAAGACCAAAGUGGGGGACCUUCGGGCCUCAUGCCAUCAGAUGUGCCCAGAUGGGAUUAGCUAGUAGGUGGGGUAACGGCUCACCUAGGCGACGAUCCCUAGCUGGUCUGAGAGGAUGACCAGCCACACUGGAACUGAGACACGGUCCAGACUCCUACGGGAGGCAGCAGUGGGGAAUAUUGCACAAUGGGCGCAAGCCUGAUGCAGCCAUGCCGCGUGUGUGAAGAAGGCCUUCGGGUUGUAAAGCACUUUCAGCGGGGAGGAAGGCGUUAAGGUUAAUAACCUUGGCGAUUGACGUUACCCGCAGAAGAAGCACCGGCUAACUCCGUGCCAGCAGCCGCGGUAAUACGGAGGGUGCAAGCGUUAAUCGGAAUUACUGGGCGUAAAGCGCACGCAGGCGGUCUGUCAAGUCGGAUGUGAAAUCCCCGGGCUCAACCUGGGAACUGCAUUCGAAACUGGCAGGCUAGAGUCUUGUAGAGGGGGUAGAAUUCCAGGUGUAGCGGUGAAAUGCGUAGAGAUCUGGAGGAAUACCGGUGGCGAAGGCGGCCCCCUGGACAAAGACUGACGCUCAGGUGCGAAAGCGUGGGGAGCAAACAGGAUUAGAUACCCUGGUAGUCCACGCCGUAAACGAUGUCGAUUUGGAGGUUGUGCCCUUGAGGCGUGGCUUCCGGAGCUAACGCGUUAAAUCGACCGCCUGGGGAGUACGGCCGCAAGGUUAAAACUCAAAUGAAUUGACGGGGGCCCGCACAAGCGGUGGAGCAUGUGGUUUAAUUCGAUGCAACGCGAAGAACCUUACCUGGUCUUGACAUCCACAGAACUUUCCAGAGAUGGAUUGGUGCCUUCGGGAACUGUGAGACAGGUGCUGCAUGGCUGUCGUCAGCUCGUGUUGUGAAAUGUUGGGUUAAGUCCCGCAACGAGCGCAACCCUUAUCCUUUGUUGCCAGCGGUCCGGCCGGGAACUCAAAGGAGACUGCCAGUGAUAAACUGGAGGAAGGUGGGGAUGACGUCAAGUCAUCAUGGCCCUUACGACCAGGGCUACACACGUGCUACAAUGGCAUAUACAAAGAGAAGCGACCUCGCGAGAGCAAGCGGACCUCAUAAAGUAUGUCGUAGUCCGGAUUGGAGUCUGCAACUCGACUCCAUGAAGUCGGAAUCGCUAGUAAUCGUAGAUCAGAAUGCUACGGUGAAUACGUUCCCGGGCCUUGUACACACCGCCCGUCACACCAUGGGAGUGGGUUGCAAAAGAAGUAGGUAGCUUAACCUUCGGGAGGGCGCUUACCACUUUGUGAUUCAUGACUGGGGUGAAGUCGUAACAAGGUAACCGUAGGGGAACCUGCGGUUGGAUCACCUCCUUACCUUAAAGAA
rnacentral:rRNA from 1 species